GUUAGCUCAGUUGGUAGAGCAGUUGACUUUUAAUCAAUUGGUCGCAGGUUCGGGUCUUGCCU
rnacentral:tRNA from 1 species